UACGGAGGGGGCUAGCGUUGUUCGGAAUUACUGGGCGUAAAGCGCACGUAGGCGGCUUUGUAAGUUAGAGGUGAAAGCCCGGGGCUCAACUCCGGAACUGCCUUUAAGACUGCAUCGCUAGAAUUGUGGAGAGGUAAGUGGAAUUCCGAGUGUAGAGGUGAAAUUCGUAGAUAUUCGGAAGAACACCAGUGGCGAAGGCGACUUACUGGACACAUAUUGACGCUGAGGUGUGAAAGCGUGGGGAGCAAACAGG
rnacentral:rRNA from 1 species